rnacentral:tRNA from 1 species
UAGGUUGAAGCCAGUUGUUUAGGGUAUUUAGCUGUUAACUAAUAUUUCGUGAGUUAGUAUCUCACCAACCUAG